GCCUGUUUCAGAUGCUGUGCGCGUACGGGAUUUUCUUUCUGGGCCAAGAUUUGCCAGAUGGAAACUACGCCCAGCUCCACAAAUCUGGAGACAAGCACAAAGACAAAUUCAGCAAGGUUCUCUAUCAUGCUGUCACAAACUACAGAGGUUGGAUCUUGGCUUUGACUUACGGGUAUUGCUUCGGAGUUGAACUUGCGAUAGACAACAUAAUCGCGCAGUACUUUUACGAUAGAUUCAACGUGAGCCUUCACACAGCUGGAAUCAUUGCAGCCAGUUUCGGUUUGGCGAAUUUCUUCUCGAGACCUGGAGGAGGUAUGCUGUCAGAUAUUGUUGCAAGGAGGUACGGAAUGAGAGGUAGGCUGUGGGCACUUUGGUCAGUGCAGACUUUGGGAGGAAUAUUCUGUAUUAUUUUGGGGAAAGUCGGAACAUUGGGUGUAUCAGUCGCUGUGAUGCUCAUAUUUUCAGUUUUCGUUCAAGCUGCUUGUGGACUUACUUUCGGGGUUGUUCCUUUCGUUUCUAGAAGGUAUCCAUCUAUCUAUCUACCUAUUCGGUUCACUAAAAUUUUAUCGGAUAAUAAUAUAGACUUAUUUGAUAUGUUGUUGUUAUUACCAGGUCAUUGGGAAUUAUAUCGGGGAUGACAGGAGCUGGUGGAAACGUGGGAGCAGUUAUUACACAAGUAAUAUUCUUCCGAGGAUCGAGAUACACUACAGAAAAAGGUAUAAUGCUAAUGGGGGUGAUGAUUAUAGCAUGCACAUCCGUAAUUACGUUGAUACACUUCCCGCAAUGGGGUGGAAUGUUCACCAAACCAUCAAAGGGCAUAACAGAGGAAGAUUAUUACCUUUCUGAAUGGACCGAAGCCGAGAAGGAAAAAGGUUUCCAUAAGGCUAGCUUAAAAUUCUCGGAAAACAGCA
rnacentral:lncRNA from 1 species